rnacentral:rRNA from 1 species
CCUACGGGUGGCAGCAGUGGGGAAUAUUGCACAAUGGGGGAAACCCUGAUGCAGCGACGCCGCGUGAGUGAAGAAGUAAUUCGUUAUGUAAAGCCCUAUCAGCAGGGAAGAAAAUGACGGUACCUGACUAAGCAGCCCCGGCUAACUACGUGCCAGCAGCCGCGGUAAUACGUAGGGGGCAAGCGUUAUCCGGAGUUACUGGGUGUAAAGGGAGCGUAGACGGCAGUGCAAGUCUGGAGUGAAAGGCGGGGGGUCAACCCCCGGACUGCUGUGGAAACUGUACGGCUGGAGUGCAGGAGAGGUAAGUGGAAUUCCUAGUGUAGCGGUGAAAUGCGUAGAUAUCAGGAGGAACACCAGUGGCGAAGGCGGCUUACUGGACCGUAACUGACGUUGAGGCUCGAAAGCGUGGGGAGCAAACAGGAUUAGAUACCCUGGUAGUC